UCGAGUCGGCCUGCGCGGAAGAUGUAACGGGGCUAAACCAUGCACCGAAGCUGCGGCAGCGAACGUAUCACUUAAAGCGAUUCAGCGGGUUACGAUUGACGGAGCGAAGCGACGUCAAAGCGUAUACAAAGUCGAGUCGGUUUAAGGAUACGUUCGUUGGGUAGGGGAGCGUUCUGUAAGCCUGUGAAGGUGUGUCGUGAGGCAUGCUGGAGGUAUCAGAAGUGCGAAUGCUGACAUAAGUAACGAUAAAGCGGGUGAAAAGCCCGCUCGCCGGAAGACCAAGGGUUCCUGUCCAACGUUAAUCGGGGCAGGGUGAGUCGACCCCUAAGGCGAGGCCGAAAGGCGUAGUCGAUGGGAAACGGGUUAAUAUUCCCGUACUUGGUGUUACUGCGAAGGGGGGACGGAGAAGGCUAUGUUGGCCGGGCGACGGUUGUCCCGGUUUAAGCGUGUAGGUGUGUGUUCCAGGUAAAUCCGGUUCACUUUAACACUGAGGCGUGACGACGAGGCACUACGGUGCUGAAGCAACAAAUGCCCUGCUUCCAGGAAAAGCCUCUAAGCAUCAGGUAACAUCAAAUCGUACCCCAAACCGACACAGGUGGUCAGGUAGAGAAUACCAAGGCGCUUGAGAGAACUCGGGUGAAGGAACUAGGCAAAAUGGUGCCGUAACUUCGGGAGAAGGCACGCUGACACGUAGGUGAAGUGAUUUACUCAUGGAGCUGAAGUCAGUCGAAGAUACCAGCUGGCUGCAACUGUUUAUUAAAAACACAGCACUGUGCAAACACGAAAGUGGACGUAUACGGUGUGACGCCUGCCCGGUGCCGGAAGGUUAAUUGAUGGGGUCAGCGCAAGCGAAGCUCCUGAUCGAAGCCCCGGUAAACGGCGGCCGUAACUAUAACGGUCCUAAGGUAGCGAAAUUCCUUGUCGGGUAAGUUCCGACCUGCACGAAUGGCGUAAUGAUGGCCAGGCUGUCUCCACCCGAGACUCAGUGAAAUUGAACUCGCUGUGAAGAUGCAGUGUACCCGCGGCAAGACGGAAAGACCCCGUGAACCUUUACUAUAGCUUGACACUGAACAUUGAGCCUUGAUGUGUAGGAUAGGUGGGAGGCUUUGAAGCGUGGACGCCAGUCUGCGUGGAGCCGACCUUGAAAUACCACCCUUUAAUGUUUGAUGUUCUAACGUGGACCCGUGAUCCGGGUUGCGGACAGUGUCUGGUGGGUAGUUUGACUGGGGCGGUCUCCUCCUAAAGAGUAACGGAGGAGCACGAAGGUUGGCUAAUCCUGGUCGGACAUCAGGAGGUUAGUGCAAUGGCAUAAGCCAGCUUGACUGCGAGCGUGACGGCGCGAGCAGGUGCGAAAGCAGGUCAUAGUGAUCCGGUGGUUCUGAAUGGAAGGGCCAUCGCUCAACGGAUAAAAGGUACUCCGGGGAUAACAGGCUGAUACCGCCCAAGAGUUCAUAUCGACGGCGGUGUUUGGCACCUCGAUGUCGGCUCAUCACAUCCUGGGGCUGAAGUAGGUCCCAAGGGUAUGGCUGUUCGCCAUUUAAAGUGGUACGCGAGCUGGGUUUAGAACGUCGUGAGACAGUUCGGUCCCUAUCUGCCGUGGGCGCUGGAGAACUGAGGGGGGCUGCUCCUAGUACGAGAGGACCGGAGUGGACGCAUCACUGGUGUUCGGGUUGUCAUGCCAAUGGCACUGCCCGGUAGCUAAAUGCGGAAGAGAUAAGUGCUGAAAGCAUCUAAGCACGAAACUUGCCCCGAG
rnacentral:rRNA from 1 species